CAAGUCGUACGAGGGCUUUUAGCCCUAGUGGCGGACGGGUGAGUAACACGUGAGAAUCUGCCCUUAGGAGGAGGAUAACAGCUGGAAACGGUUGCUAAUACUCCAUAUGCCGAGAGGUAAAAGGAUUUAUCCACCUAAGGAGGAGCUCGCGUCUGAUUAGCUAGUUGGUGAGGUAAAAGCCCACCAAGGCGACGAUCAGUAGCUGGUUUGAGAGGAUGAUCAGCCACACUGGGACUGAGACACGGCCCAGACUCCUACGGGAGGCAGCAGUAGGGAAUUUUCCGCAAUGGGCGAAAGCCUGACGGAGCAAUACCGCGUGAGGGAUGACGGCCUGUGGGUUGUAAACCUCUUUUCUCAAGGAAGAAGUUCUGACGGUACUUGAGGAAUAAGCAUCGGCUAACUCUGUGCCAGCAGCCGCGGUAAUACAGAGGAUGCAAGCGUUAUCCGGAAUCACUGGGCAUAAAGCGUCUGUAGGUUGUUUAGUAAGUCUGCUGUUAAAGACUGGGGCUUAACCCCAGAAAAGCAGUGGAAACUGCUAGACUCGAGUGUGGUAGAGGUAGAGGGAAUUCCUAGUGUAGCGGUGAAAUGCGUAGAUAUUAGGAAGAACACCAAUGGCGAAGGCACUCUACUGGGCCAUAACUGACACUGAGAGACGACAGCUAGGGGAGCAAACGGGAUUAGAUACCCCGGUAGUCCUAGCCGUAAACGAUGGAUACUAGAUGUUGCACGUAUUAACCCGUGCAGUAUCGUAGCUAAGGCGUUAAGUAUCCCGCCUGGGAAGUACGCUCGCAAGAGUGAAACUCAAAGGAAUUGACGG
rnacentral:rRNA from 1 species